AUGAUUGUCAAUGGUCACCUUCAGUGCUGGCGCAAGCAAGUGCACGUUGGUGGCUUUCAUCCACUACCCUUGUGAACCUUUGGCCUCUGCUAGCCUCGGCUGACAGAGGAUUUUGCACAAAUACUCGAAUGUAAUGAAAACUUUUAUUGUGCGCAAGCACUAAUGUA
rnacentral:misc_RNA from 1 species